GUUGUAAACCUCUUUUAGCAGGGAAGAAGCGAAAGUGACGGUACCUGCAGAAAAAGCGCCGGCUAACUACGUGCCAGCAGCCGCGGUAAUACGUAGGGCGCAAGCGUUAUCCGGAAUUAUUGGGCGUAAAGAGCUCGUAGGCGGUUUGUCGCGUCUGCUGUGAAAUCCCGAGGCUCAACUUCGGGUCUGCAGUGGGUACGGGCAGACUAGAGUGCGGUAGGGGAGAUUGGAAUUCCUGGUGUAGCGGUGGAAUGCGCAGAUAUCAGGAGGAACACCGAUGGCGAAGGCAGAUCUCUGGGCCGUAACUGACGCUGAGGAGCGAAAGGGUGGGGAGCAAACAGGCUUAGAUACCCUGGUAGUCCACCCCGUAAACGUUGGGAACUAGUUGUGGGGUCCAUUCCACGGAUUCCGUGACGCAGCUAACGCAUUAAGUUCCCCGCCUGGGGAGUACGGCCGCAAGGCUAAAACUCAAAGGAAUUGACGGGGACCCGCACAAGCGGCGGAGCAUGCGGAUUAAUUCGAUGCAACGCGAAGAACCUUACCAAGGCUUGACAUAUACGAGAACGCUGCAGAAAUGUAGAACUCUUUG
rnacentral:rRNA from 1 species